CCCUUAGAUGUCCUGGGCUGCACGCGCGCUACACUGAUGUGUCCAGUAAGCACCUAACCUCUUCCGAAAGGAACGGGUAACCUUUGCAAAGCACAUCGUGAUAGGGAUAGAUUAUUGAAAUUAUUAAUCUUGAACGAGGAAUUCCUAGUAAACGCAGAUCAUCAAUCUGCAUUGAUUACGUCCCUGCCCUUUGUACACACCGCCCGUCGCACCUACCGAUUGGAUGGUCCGGUGAAGCCUCGGGAUUGUGGUUCUUGCCGCUUUAUUGUGGCGUGACCGCGAGAACUUGUCUAAACCUUAUCAUCUAGAGGAAGGUGAAGUCGUAACA
rnacentral:rRNA from 1 species